rnacentral:lncRNA from 1 species
ACAUGUCCUAGACACAUCCAACCCUGUGUUGAGUCUCCUAAGUCAAAUGCAUUUGAUACAAACAAAUGUUCCUACUAGGGAUACAGUAUGAGGUUUUGUUAUACUAGGUUUAAAAUCUAGUUUUAUUGUUCUAGACCUGGCUUACUCGAGCGGACAGCUCGAGCCGAGGGCGGGGCAGCGUACCAGGAAUACAGAAGCUUUGCCAGCUUUGCAACUUGUCCGAACCUUGUUCCAAAAUUUGAGAUGAGACUCUAACAGAAAAGAAGUUACAUGAAGUGCACACUUCCCAGAUGAUAUAGAAGACUCAGAGAGAGGAGGGUGUCGUAGCCGUUUAUAUACAGUCCAUAUAAUAUCAAAGCAAUAAAAGCAUGUAGCACAUUAGGCUUAAACAUGUAGG